rnacentral:siRNA from 1 species
AGCUUUUAUCAGCCGGUGUU